GCGUCGGUUUAGCUCUGUGGUUACUUCACUGAGAAUUAACUUCAACUCGCGAUCCUUGGAUCAAGGGUUCCCACCACGGGCGCUGUCCGACGUUUUG
rnacentral:vault_RNA from 1 species